CCUACGGGUGGCAGCAGUGGGGAAUAUUGGGCCAUGGGCGAAAGCCUGACCCAGCAACGCCGCGUGAAGGAAGAAGGCUUUCGGAUUGUAAACUUCUGUUCUUAGUGAAGAAUAAUGACGGUAGCUAAGGAGCAAGCCACGGCUAACUACGUGCCAGCAGCCGCGGUAAUACGUAGGUGGCAAGCGUUGUCCGGAAUUACUGGGUGUAAAGGGAGCGCAGGCGGGAAGCCAAGUCAGCUGUGAAAACUACGGGCUUAACUUGUAGACUGCAGUUGAAACUGGUUUUCUUGAGUGAAGUAGAGGUGGGCGGAAUUCCGAGUGUAGCGGUGAAAUGCGUAGAUAUUAGGAGGAACACCGGUGGCGAAGGCGGCCAACUGGGCUUUAACUGACGCUGAGGCUCGAAAGUGUGGGGAGCAAACAGGAUUAGAUACCCGUGUAGUC
rnacentral:rRNA from 1 species